rnacentral:misc_RNA from 1 species
GUAACAAGCGCCCUGUCGUUUCAAAGCCUGGGGGAUUUUUCUUUUUCCAUCGAUGAGGAACAACGUUCUUCUUACCAAAGGAAUCUAUUCCCUUCUCCAAAAUUUGGAGUUGAAAAUUUCAAUCGAGAAUGGGACACAGAAGAAAAACUUACCUGGGACAACAAUAUGUUACCGAAAACCAGAUCCUUGUCGUAAAAUAUUACCAAUCUUUG